AUGAGCACUAUAUGUCCCAUUUAAACGGUCCAAUAAGUCUCUCCCUGCAAACAUCUGUAUUACCCAGAGGUUAUCUUGCUUUCCUAUAGUGACCACUGAAGGUACCACAUCUAUGAGUUCUUACAUUCUGUCCCAUGUGAAAUAUAAUAUAGAAAAAGCCUUGACACUCAUAUAACAUCUGAGAAUGAUGAUUUCAUGGCUAUAGUUUACAGGGAUUUAAACUUGACUAGCCCUCAUGGAACAUGACAUUUUUCCAGCCCUUAAAAGUUUCCUCCCAAAACACCGUAGUGGGCCGACAUAUCAAUACUCUCAGUAGCAGUUCUUCAGGCCUGCUGUGUGCGUUACCUGCUCGAUGGUGUGCCUUUUGUCUGUAUGAUAAAGACUUCAUGGUUGUGACAUUUAUUACGGCCUGUCACAGGGAAGCUCGCGGGGCCUUUUUACUGUCAAGCCUCGGCAACGUGGGGUUUAUAUCCAAACGGCCUUGUGUAUCAGGAGACCUGGAACAUCAAACUAGUGUCACUCAAACAUCCCUCUGGUUUCUGUACAUGUAUUUUAUGUUAGUGUUUUUUAAAAUUUAUUUUCCUGGAAAGAAGCCUCACAGAUAAGCAGUACGUUCCCCCGACACACCCUACGACCACCCAAUCUCACCUCAUCUCAUGGCACCGUGAUGUUUUCAGUUUAGAGGCACUUUGGAUCUCACGCCAGCGUCGUUUCAUGACCUCAGCGCAGUUAAUGCCUUUAACUGACAGCAGAUUACUCUGUUUACAACUUCCUCUGGGUCAAAGGUGAACACAGAGGUCAAACAGAGGUCACACCGCCGUUCCCAAAGCUACGUACCGAGCCAUACAGCUACAUCGGGAGAUUCCUUCAAAUAGCACAUUUUGAAAAACGGCCAGUGCGUGUCAUGAGAUCACAGCGUCUCCGAAUCUUAGAGGGGAUUAUCAUCUGACGAUAUCUCUGCUUUCUUUAAUUCCCCUGCUCGGGGUGAAUUGCUUGACCUGUGAUGGAGGAGGACUGUGCUGUCAGUGAUGCCCGUGUGCACAGCGGAGGGAAUGAUAGAGGAAUGGGUUGAAGGGAUCAGAGAAAUGAGUGGUAGGUGAUGGGUUGAGAGUCUGAUUUAGGAAUCUUUACCCUUCUUUUCAGGUAUAGAAUUGACUACAGAACUCCAUAUAUGGAAGCUUCAACCGCGUCUUUCAUAUACAGAUUAAAUUAUGUCCAUACAUUAACAACAUUAUUUUGCUAUACGUCAUUUAUUAAUACUCAAAAGGAAAUCUAUCUCUACCUAACUAUCUCUCUUUAUCAAGGGAAAGUGUGCACACCCUUUACAUUGCUGUAGGGAUUGAUGGCUAUAAGUAGAAACUUGUUUUGUGUUUCAUUCAGCUGUAUUACUUUGGAUUGGAGGAGUAUAAUAUACAAGCUAAUAAAAUGGAGUGAUUGGUGCCCCAUAGGGAUAUGAAACAGUUGGGGCUAUUACAGAACCCAUUCCAGAAUAUAGCUGUGUAACAUUCUUGUUCAGGUAAACAUAUGUAUGAUAACUCACAGACAUGCUCUGAUGAUGACAUUGUGUAUGAUAAGUAGCCUGUAACAGAACAACCUCAUUGCCAGUCAAGAUCUUGGGUGAGUCACAGGUUCAAGCCUGACUUUGAGACCUAUGAAUUAUGUAAAAAAAAAAAAGAAAAAGAUUCAAGACGCACCUAGUCAUGAACGAGCAGAGUAAUGAAGUUCAGAUGUUAGACUAAAGCCCCACUUCUUGUACCUCCUCAAGGCUGUGGGAGAAAACAGAGACAGAAGCCUGAGUGGAGAACAAAGUGUUUCGGUUUGAUGCCCGUAAAUUCCCUGUUGAAAGAGAAAGCAUGCAGAAGUUCAGCUCAGUCAGAGCGAGGCUGUGCACGGAGAUAAGACGCUGUACUAGCAGGUGAUCCUCUCAGCAUGCAAAGUGUUGAUGUUGUCUUCAUCCAGGAUCUUGGUGGCAGAGGGAGUCAGUGAAAUACUGUACAUUGGAAAAAGGGAGAUGUGGCCAAGACGGAGUCAUCAGAGGUCCCUAAAAUAGAGUGCAGUCUGAGAAUGAAGCAGAGAAAGGUGAACGCCGCUGGUUGGUGUGCUUCACUUAAGCCGAUUCUGCUUCAGUGCCCCCAGAAAAAGCUGAUUCAUUUCAGUGGAAUCCUCACUUUCCUUUGGUGGAUACAGCCUGUUUGGGUUUUCAGAGAUGCUUCAGCUUUGUAAGUUGUGAAGCAUUAUUGUUUUCUUUUAAUAAAUGGUCUUUUGUG